UGAGGAUGGAGACCAGCCAACUUUCUGCCAUGCAGCUGGCUAAGGAUUGGAAAAGGAGCGAGCUAACAUUUAUUGCUCGGUUGGCAGCCGAGGCUGAAACUAUUAUUGAUGAUGCAGUUUUACCUACUAAGAUCAGAAAUAUUUUGGAGGAAAAUCGGGACUUAAUGCCACCUGAAUUGCCCAAAAAAUUACUUCCUCGAAGGGAGGUGGAUCAUCGGAUUGAGCUGGAACAAGCUGCUAAACCUCCGGCAAUGUCUCCAUAUCGAAUGGCUCCCCCGGAUUUGGAGGAACUCGGAAGACAGUUGACAGAAUUGGUUGAAACUGGAAGGAUCAGACUCUCAAAGGUUCCUUAUGGCGCCCUGGUUCUAUUCCAAAAGAAAGCAGACAGCUCCUUGCGAAUGUGAUACCGGGCACUAAAUAAGGUAACUAUAAAGAAUAAAUAUCCCAUUCCUUUAAUUGCUGAUUUGUUUGAUAGACUUGGCAGUGCGAAGUUCUAUAUAAAGGUGGAUUUGCAAAAGGGAUAUUACCAAGUCCGAAUAGCAGAGGGUGAUGAGCCAAAAACUGCUUGCAUUAGUCGGUAUGGGUCAUUUGAGUGGCUUGUCAUGCCUUUCGGCCUGACCAAUGCUCCAGCCAUGUUUUGCACUUUGAUGAACCGAUUUUUCAGCCAUUAUUGGAUUGUUUUGUGGUAGUCUACCCCGAUGACAUUGUCAUCUACAACAAUUCGUUGGAUGAACAUGUUGAACAAUUGGGAAUCAUUUUCCAAGUACUGCGGGAGAAUAUGCUUUUUAUAAAGAAGGAGAAGUGUUCAUUCGCCAAAGAGGAGGUAAACUUUUUGGGGCAUGUAAUCAGGUUUGGCCGGUUGCCAUAAAUGAUUGGGAUCCGCCAAUUAAGGUGACUGAGUUGCGGUCUUUCUUGGGCCUUGUGAAUUAUUAUCGGAAGUUCAUCUAGGCCUACUCAUCUCAAGCAGCCCCUUUGAUGGAUCUGUUGAGAUAGAAUCAAAGGUGGGAUUGGUGGAUUAAGUGUCAAAGGGCCUUCGAUAACCUGAAGGUAGCCAUUACGACAGAACCUAUUCUGGUGUUGCCAAAUUUUAACAAGUGUUUUGAGGUACAGACUGAUACUUCAGAUUUUGCUAUCGGGGGUGUGUUGAUGCAGGAUGGCUACCCAAUUGCAUUGAAAGCCGAAAACUGAAUGAGAGAGCGUCGUUAUACGAUGCAGGAAAAGGAAAUGACCGGAAUUAUUCACUGCUUGCAGGUAUGGUGCCACUACUUGCUUGGUUCUCGUUUUGUAAUUAAAACGGAUAAUGUGGCGAUGAGUUAUUUUCACACCGAAAAGAAGCUAAGUCCGAAACAAGUAUGGUGGCAGGACUUCUUAGCUAAAUUUGAUUUUGUGUUGGAGUAUAAACCGGGAAAGGCCAAUGUGGUGGCUGAUGCCCUCAGCUGAAAGGCAGAACUUUCGGCCACUAGCCAAGUGACCGGAACAUUGCUGGGAUUAAUCAAAGAAGGUCUAGAACGUGACCUGGUUGCAAAGGACUUUAUGCAGGCUACCCGAGAGGGUAAAACUCAAAAGUUCUGAGUGGAAAAUGGGAUACUUUAUUCCACUGGACAACGGGUAUUUGUUCCUAAGUGGAACCAUUUGAGACGGGAUAUUACUCGGGAAUGCCAUGACACAAAAUGGGCUGGACAUCCGGGGAUUGAUCAAACCUUGGCCUUGAUUGAAAGAGCAUACUAUUGGCCUCAUAUGCGGGAUCAGGUGGAGACUUAUGUGAGAACGUGUCUUGUGUGCCAAUAAAAUAAGGUAGAAAACAGGCUGUCGGUAGGUCUACUUGAUCCUCUUCCAAUCCUCAAGCAGUCGUGGGAUGUGGUAACCAUGAAUUUUAUCAGUGCAUUGCCGAAAUCAGAUGGGUUUGCUCUAUUAUUGUUGUUGUUGACCGGUUCUUGAAAUAUGCAACCUUCAUUCCGGGACCAAAAGAUUGCACAGCUGUAGAGACAGCAAGGCUAUUCUUCAAAAAUGUUGUUAAGUAUUGGGGAUUGCCCUGAAACAUAAUAAGUGACUGUGAUCCUCAUUUCACGAGGAAGCUGUGGACAAAAUUAUUUAAACUCUUGGGAACAUAUCUGCAUUUUUCAAGCAGCUUUCACCCGAAAAUUGGCGGACAAACAUAACGGGUGAAUUCGCUGUUGGAGUGUUACCUCAGGCACUGCGUUAGUGCCAACCAGCAAGAUUGGGCAAAGCUGUUGGAUAUAGCCCAGUUUUCAUAUAAUCUGCAAAAGAGUGAAUCGACUGGCCAGAGCCCCUUUAAAUAAGUAACAGGGCAACAACCAUUCACCCCCCAUUCAUUAUCUUCGGUUGGUGACUUAGGCUGAAGUCCAAGGGCCACAAAAAUGGCUAAGUCUUGGGGAAAACAUGCUGAUUUGGCUCGAGCUUGUUUGGAAAAGACUCGGAAGUGAAUUAAAAAGUGGGCAGACAUUAAGAGGCGACCGUUGGAGUUUAAUAUUGG
rnacentral:lncRNA from 1 species